AUGUCAAAAGGGCUGUGGAACUACUGGAUAAGCUUCAGAAAACUGGAGAGGUACCAUCAGCCAAGUUGGCAGCACUACAGCGUGUUCUUCAGUCAGAAUUUCUAACGGCUGUUCGAGAAGUAUAUGAGCAUGUAUAUGAGACUGUAGACAUCUCGGGCUCACCUGAAAUACGUGCAUCAGCAACGGCAAAAGCAACAGUAGCUGCCUUUGCUGCAAGUGAGGGCCAUGCCCACCCAAGAGUUGUAGAGCUUCCCAAGACUGAUGAAGGAUUGGGGUUUAAUGUGAUGGGAGGCAGAGAACAGAAUUCUCCCAUAUAUAUAUCCCGCAUCAUUCCUGGUGGUGUAGCAGAUCGCCAUGGUGGUCUGAAGAGAGGCGACCAGCUCCUGUCUGUGAAUGGAGUGAGUGUCGAGGGUGAGAACCAUGAACGUGCGGUGGAGUUGCUGAAGGCUGCCAGCGGUUCGGUCAAGUUGGUGGUCCGGUAUACCCCUCGAGUGUUGGAGGAGAUGGAGAUGCGAUUCGACAAACAGCGGGCGUCACGUAGGCGAACUUCCCAAUUACAGUAGUGACUUCCCUAGUGGAGGACUGGCGAGAGCUGGUGUAACUCCGUGCGAGGGAUGGGGAACAAGCUGAGAGCCAGCCAGGUGGGGACUCUUCUCCAGGGCAGUUUUGGCAUCAAGAAUGGAAGUAAACUAUUUUCUACAUAUUAUCUAGUUUACUGUGAAAAGGGACUCAACUUUAGGGAUACCUUUUUCCUAGUUAAAGGAGUCUGUAUAUGGAAUUAAGGGCUAGGGCUGGUCCCAGGAAAGUUUGUUGUGGGCUUGUCAUUGUGCAGGUGGAGGACAGUGGAAUUAAAGAUGCCACAGCAGGUUGCAGCUCCAGACCAAAGAUGAUCAUUCUUUCCAAUUUGUAAUCUUUAGUCACAAACAUUUUAAGCCGUAUGUCUUGUGCAUCAUCCAGUACCCCCACCAGCCACCCCUACCCCUCUAAGCUAGGUUUCUUGAAAUCUAUUGACAGUCCCUUUAGUCUGUUACCAUGUAGAGAGAAAAAAAUCCUUCAGUGUAAUAAUAUUGAUAUCAAAUCGUAUCGUAAAUGCUUUCAGAAUUAGACAUUGUAAUGUAAUAUUCUCCAUCUUUUUAAGGAUUGCAUAUUUUCCAGUUUUGUCCUCCUAGUUUUGGUUGUUUUAGAUAUAUUUUCCAUCUUUCUAUACAGACAAUUGUAUAGAUUUGACUUUUUCAAAGAAUUUUAAUCAGAUUAUACCUGAAAUUUGUAGUAAUUUGUCAUUUAAAACUAUAAAUGUAUAUUAAUGUAGUAAAACAUCAUUGAUGACUUUCUGUUCAAGGGUUUGAGAAAGCCAAUAACAUUUCAUGUGAAUGAAAGUAUGAGUGUAAAUUCCCAUUGUUCUUAAAGGUAAGGGCAGCUAUAAAAGUAUGUAUGAGUGUAUGCUUGUGCUGGGCAAAUGAUUUUCUCAUUUUGUUUUUUCAUUUUCCUUGGCAUGAAUUGUUUGCUGUAAGUUUAACAUAUCAUUUUUAAAUAACCAUAUUUGCAUAUAGAAACUGGAUACUGACCAAUCAAAAUAUGUACAUGUGUCAUAUAUAGUACCACGUAAGUGAUGUUGGUUCAGUAAUGGAGAAUGGGAUUGACACGUUAACUGUGUUCAGCUAGUCUUUAAAGAAUAUAUUUCAUGUAUUUUGAUUGCCAAUCUUAGUUCAUCAUUAUGCAUUUUCAUUUAUUGCAGAUAGAUUGAACUCUUGUUCAAAUUUCAUUUUUCAUGAAUAAACCAAGAUUUCUGAUAUGUAUUGAAAUAUUAUGAAAUGGUAUAGAUGUAUAUCAAAUAUACUUAAAACUAUGAA